CCUACGGCAGGCAGCAGUGGGGAAUUUUGGACAAUGGGCGCAAGCCUGAUCCAGCCAUGCCGCGUGCGGGAAGAAGGCCUUCGGGUUGUAAACCGCUUUUGUCAGGGAAGAAAUCCUUUGGGUUAAUACCUCGGAGGGAUGACGGUACCUGAAGAAUAAGCACCGGCUAACUACGUGCCAGCAGCCGCGGUAAUACGUAGGGUGCGAGCGUUAAUCGGAAUUACUGGGCGUAAAGCGUGCGCAGGCGGUUAUGCAAGACAGAUGUGAAAUCCCCGGGCUCAACCUGGGAACUGCAUUUGUGACUGCAUAGCUAGAGUACGGUAGAGGGGGAUGGAAUUCCGCGUGUAGCAGUGAAAUGCGUAGAUAUGCGGAGGAACACCGAUGGCGAAGGCAAUCCCCUGGACCUGUACUGACGCUCAUGCACGAAAGCGUGGGGAGCAAACAGGAUUAGAUACCCUGGUAGUCCACGCCCUAAACGAUGUCAACUGGUUGUUGGACGGCUUGCUGUUCAGUACGAAGCUAACGCGUGAAGUUGACCGCCUGGGGAGUACGGCCGCAAGGUUGAACUUAAAGGAAUUGACGGCUGNGAGNGCGAGACGACGACGAGGGAGGAGG
rnacentral:rRNA from 1 species